rnacentral:rRNA from 1 species
GACGAACGCUGGCGGCGUGCUUAACACAUGCAAGUCGAACGGAAAGGCCCUGCUUUUGUGGGGUUCUCGAGUGGCGAACGCGUGAGUAACACGUGAGUAACCUGCCCUUGAUUUUGGGAUAACUUCAGGAAACUGGGGCUAAUCCCGGAUAGGAGCUCCUGCUGCAUGGUGGGGGUUGGAAAGUUUCGGCGGUUGGGGAUGGACUCGCGGCUUAUCAGCUUGUUGGUGGGGUAGUGGCUUACCAAGGCUUUGACGGGUAGCCGGCCUGAGAGGGUGACCGGCCACAUUGGGACUGAGAUACGGCCCAGACUCCUACGGGAGGCAGCAGUGGGGAAUAUUGCACAAUGGGCGGAAGCCUGAUGCAGCAACGCCGCGUGCGGGAUGACGGCCUUCGGGGUGUAAACCGCUUGCGCCUGUGACGAAGCGUGAGUGACGGUAAUGGGUAAAGAAGCACCGGCUAACUACGUG